rnacentral:rRNA from 1 species
AGAGUUUGAUCAUGGCUCAGGACGAACGCUGGCGGCGUGCUUAACACAUGCAAGUCGAACGGUAAGGCCCUUCGGGGUACACGAGUGGCGAACGGGUGAGUAACACGUGGGUAAUCUGCCCUGCACAUCGGGAUAAGCCUGGGAAACUGGGUCUAAUACCGAAUAGGACCACAGGACACAUGUCCUGUGGUGGAAAGCUUUUGCGGUGUGGGAUGGGCCCGCGGCCUAUCAGCUUGUUGGUGGGGUGAUGGCCUACCAAGGCGACGACGGGUAGCCGGCCUGAGAGGGUGUCCGGCCACACUGGGACUGAGAUACGGCCCAGACUCCUACGGGAGGCAGCAGUGGGGAAUAUUGCACAAUGGGCGAAAGCCUGAUGCAGCGACGCCGCGUGGGGGAUGACGGCCUUCGGGUUGUAAACCUCUUUCACCAUCGACGAAGGUCCGGGUUUUCUCGGGCUGACGGUAGGUGGAGAAGAAGCACCGGCCAACUACGUGCCAGCAGCCGCGGUAAUACGUAGGGUGCGAGCGUUAUCCGGAAUUACUGGGCGUAAAGAGCUCGUAGGUGGUUUGUCGCGUUGUUCGUGAAAUCUCACGGCUUAACUGUGAGCGUGCGGGCGAUACGGGCAGACUUGAGUACUGCAGGGGAGACUGGAAUUCCUGGUGUAGCGGUGGAAUGCGCAGAUAUCAGGAGGAACACCGGUGGCGAAGGCGGGUCUCUGGGCAGUAACUGACGCUGAGGAGCGAAAGCGUGGGGAGCGAACAGGAUUAGAUACCCUGGUAGUCCAA